AUGAGUAUUCUAAGGCGCUUGAGAGAACUCAGGAGAAGGAACUCGGCAAAUUGACACCGUAACUUCGGAAGAAGGUGUGCCCUAUUAGUGUGUAGUGAACAACGAAGCAUGAAUGGGUUGCAAAAAAUCGGUGGCUGCGACUGUUUAUUAAAAACACAGCACUCUGCAAACACGAAAGUGGACGUAUAGGGUGUGACGCCUGCCCGGUGCUGGAAGAUUAAAUGAUGGGGUGCAAGCUCUUGAUUGAAGUCCCAGUAAACGGCGGCCGUAACGAUAACGGUCCUAAGGUAGCGAAAUUCCUUGUCGGGUAAGUUCCGACCUGCACGAAUGGCGUAACGAUGGCCACACUGUCUCCUCCUGAGACUCAGCGAAGUUGAAAUGUUUGUGAUGAUGCAAUCUCCCCGCGGAAAGACGGAAAGACCCCAUGAACCUUUACUGUAGCUUUGUAUUGGACUUUGAACAGAUCUGUGUAGGAUAGGUGGGAGGCUUUGAAGCAGGGUCGCUAGAUCUUGUGGAGCCAACGUUGAAAUACCACCCUGGUGUGUUUGAGGUUCUAACCUAGGUCCAUUAUCUGGAUCGGGGACAGUGCAUGGUAGGCAGUUUGACUGGGGCGGUCUCCUCCCAAAGCGUAACGGAGGAGUUCGAAGGUACGCUAGUUACGGUCGGACAUCGUGACGAUAGUGCAAUGGCAUAAGCGUGCUUAACUGCGAGACUGACAAGUCGAGCAGAUGCGAAAGCAGGACAUAGUGAUCCGGUGGUUCUGUAUGGAAGGGCCAUCGCUCAACGGAUAAAAGGUACUCUGGGGAUAACAGGCUGAUACCGCCCAAGAGUUCAUAUCGACGGCGGUGUUUGGCACCUCGAUGUCGGCUCAUCUCAUCCUGGGGCUGUAGCCGGUCCCAAGGGUAUGGCUGUUCGCCAUUUAAAGAGGUACGUGAGCUGGGUUUAAAACGUCGUGAGACAGUUUGGUCCCUAUCUUCCGUGGGCGCUGCAGAUUUGAGGAAGCCUGCUCCUAGUACGAGAGGACCGGAGUGGACACACCUCUGGUGUAUCGGUUGUCACGCCAGUGGCAUUGCCGAGUAGCUAAGUGUGGAAGAGAUAACCGCUGAAAGCAUCUAAGCGGGAAACUCGUUUCAAGAUGAGAUCUGCCGGGGCCUUGAGCCCCCUAAAGAGUCGUUCAAGACCAGGACGUUGAUAGGUCAGGUGUGGAAGCGAAAAAAAAA
rnacentral:rRNA from 1 species